rnacentral:rRNA from 1 species
AACGAACGCUGGCGGCAGGCUUAACACAUGCAAGUCGAGCGCAUACUUCGGGGUGAGCGGCAGACGGGUGAGUAACACGUGGGAAUCUACCCAACCAUACGGACUAGCUCCGGGAAACUGGAAUUUAUUCCGUAUACGACCUAAGGGGGAAAGAUAUAUCGGGGAUGGAUGAACCCGCGUUGGAUUAGCAAGUUGGUGAGGUAAAGGCCGACCAAGGCGACGAUCAAUAGCUGGUCUGAGAGGAUGAUCAGCCACAUUGGGACUGAGACACGGCCCAAACUCCUGCGGGAGGAGGCAGUGGGGAAUGUUGGACAAUGGGCGCAGGCCGAAUCCAGCCGUGCCGCGUGAGUGAUUAAGGCCUGAAGGUUGUAAAGCGCUUUCGCCGGAGAAGAUAAUGACGGUAUCCGGAGAAGAAGCCCCGGCUAACUUCGUGCCAGCAGCCGCCGUAA